rnacentral:piRNA from 1 species
UAGUUCUUUAUUUCGAAACUG